UGGGGAAUAUUGCACAAUGGGGGAAACCCUGAUGCAGCCAUGCCGCGUGUGUGAAGAAGGCCUUCGGGUUGUAAAGCACUUUCAGCGAGGAGGAAAGGUUGUUGGCUAAUACCCAGCAACUGUGACGUUACUCGCAGAAGAAGCACCGGCUAACUCCCUGUGC
rnacentral:rRNA from 1 species